CCUUCGGGUGGCAGCAGUGAGGAAUAUUGGUCAAUGGGCGGGAGCCUGAACCAGCCAAGUCGCGUGAGGGAAGAAGGUCCUACGGAUUGUAAACCUCUUUUGCCGGGGAGCAACGGGGUCCGUGCGAGGGCAAAAUGAGAGUACCAGGAGCAAAAGAAUCGGCUAACUCAGUGCCAGCAGCCGCGGUAUUACGGAGGAUGCGAGCGUUAUCCGGAUUUAUUGGGUUUAAAGGGUGCGUAGGCGGUCGGGGAAGUUAGAGGUGAAAUCCCGCGGCCCAACUUCGGAAUUGCCUUGGAUACUGUUCGGCUAGAGUGUAGUAGAGGUAGGCGGAAGUUAUGGUGUAGCGGUGAAAUGCGUAGAGAUCAUGCAGAACACCAGUUGCGAAGGCAGCUUACCAGACUACAACUGACGUUGAGGCUCGAAAGCGUGGGGAGCAAACAGGAUUAGAUACCCGAGUAGUC
rnacentral:rRNA from 1 species